AGGACGAACGCUGGCGGCGUGCUUAACACAUGCAAGUCGAGCGGUAAGGCCCUUUCGGGGGUACACGAGCGGCGAACGGGUGAGUAACACGUGGGUGACCUGCCCUUAGCUCUGGGAUAAGCCUGGGAAACUGGGUCUAAUACCGGAUAUGACCUCGCGAUGCAUGUCGUGGGGUGGAAAGCCUUGUGCGGCUAGGGAUGGGCCCGCGGCCUAUCAGCUUGUUGGUGGGGUGAUGGCCUACCAAGGCGACGACGGGUAGCCGGCCUGAGAGGGCGACCGGCCACACUGGGACUGAGACACGGCCCAGACUCCUACGGGAGGCAGCAGUGGGGAAUCUUGCGCAAUGGGCGAAAGCCUGACGCAGCGACGCCGCGUGAGGGAUGACGGCCUUCGGUUGUAAACCUCUUCAGCCCUGACGAAGCGAAAGUGACGGUAGGGCAGAAGAAGCACCGGCCAACUACGCGCCAGCAGCCGCGGUAA
rnacentral:rRNA from 1 species